UNGAUCCUGGCUCAGGACGAACGCUGGCGGCAUGCCUAAUACAUGCAAGUCGAGCGAAUGAUGAAGAAGCUUGCUNCUUCUGAUUCAGCGGCGGACGGGUGAGUAACACGUGGGCAACCUGCCCUGUAGAUUGGGAUAACUCCGGGAAACCGGNGCUNAUACCGAAUAAUCCAUUUCCUCUCAUGGGGAAAUGUUAAAAGACGGUUUCGGCUNUCACUNCNGGAUNGGCCCGCGGCGCNUUAGCUNGUUGGUGAGGUAACGGCUCACCAAGGCGACGAUGCGUAGCCGACCUGAGAGGGUNAUCGGCCACACUGGGACUGAGACACGGCCCAGACUCCUACGGGAGGCAGCAGUAGGGAAUCUUCCACAAUGGACGAAAGUCUGAUGGAGCAAUGCCGCGUGAGUGAAGAAGGUUUUCGGAUCGUAAAACUCUGUUGUGAGGGAAGAACAAGUACGAGAGUNACUNCUNGUACCUUGACGGUACCUCAUUAGAAAGCCACGGCUAACUACGUGCCAGCAGCCGCGGUNAUACGUAGGUGGCAAGCGUUGUCCGGAAUUAUUGGGCGUNAAGCGCGCGCAGGCGGUCCUUUAAGUCUNAUGUGAAAUCCCACGGCUCAACCGUGGAAGGUCAUUGGAAACUGGGGGACUUGAGUACAGAAGAGGAAAGUGGAAUUCCAAGUGUAGCGGUNAAAUGCGUAGAGAUUUGGAGGAACACCAGUGGCGAAGGCGACUNUCUNGUCUGUAACUGACGCUGAGGCGCGNAAGCGUGGGGAGCAAACAGGAUUAGAUACCCUNGUAGUCCACGCCGUAAACGAUGAGUGCUNAGUGUUAGGGGGUUUCCGCCCCUUAGUGCUGCANUAACGCAUUAAGCACUCCGCCUNGGGAGUACGGUCGCAAGACUNAAACUCAAAGGAAUUGACGGGGGCCGCACAAGCGGUNGAGCAUGUNGUUUAAUUCGAAGNAACGCGAAGAACCUNACCAGGUCUUGACAUCCCACUGACCGGUCUAGAGAUAGAUCUUUCUUCGGGGNCAGUGGUGACAGGUGGNGCAUGGUUGUCGUCAGCUNGUGUCGUGAGAUGUUGGGUUAAGUCCCGCAACGAGCGCAACCCUUGAUCUUAGUUGCCAGCAUUCAGUUGGGCACUCUAAGGUGACUGCCGGUGAUAAACCGGAGGAAGGUGGGGAUGACGUNAAAUCAUCAUGCCCCUUAUGACCUNGGCUACACACGUGCUACAAUGGACGGUACAGAGGGUCGCAACCCCGCGAGGGUGAGCUAAUCCCAUAAAACCGUNCUCAGUUCGGAUUGUAGGCUGCAACUCGCCUNCAUGAAGCCGGAAUCGCUNGUAAUCGUGGAUCAGCAUGCCACGGUGAAUACGUUCCCGGGCCUNGUACACACCGCNCGUCACACCACGAGAGUUUGUAACACNC
rnacentral:rRNA from 1 species